GAUGAAGAACGCAGUGAAAUGCGAUACGUAAUGUGAAUUGCAGAAUUCAGUGAAUCAUCGAAUCUUUGAACGCACAUUGCGCCCGCCAGCACUCUGGCGGGCAUGCCUGUUCGAGCGUCAUUUCAACCAUCAAGCCCCAGGCUUGCGUUGGAGCCCUGCGGCUGCCGCAGCCUCCUAAAAGCAGUGGCGGGCUCGCUAUCACACCGAGUGCAGUAGAUUACUCUUCGCUCAGGGCGUGCAGCGGGUUCCGGCCGUGAAACCCCCUACUUUUAAAGGUUGACCUCGGAUCAGGUAGGAAUACCCGCUGAACUUAAGCAUAUCAAUAAGCGGUGGA
rnacentral:misc_RNA from 1 species